rnacentral:rRNA from 1 species
GACGAACGCUGGCGGCGUGCUUAACACAUGCAAGUCGAACGGAAAGGCCCUGCUUUUGUGGGGUGCUCGAGUGGCGAACGGGUGAGUAACACGUGAGUAACCUGCCCUUGACUUUGGGAUAACUUCAGGAAACUGGGGCUAAUACCGGAUAUGAGCUCCUGCUGCAUGGUGGGGGUUGGAAAGUUUCGGCGGUUGGGGAUGGACUCGCGGCUUAUCAGCUUGUUGGUGGGGUAGUGGAUUACCAAGGCUUUGACGGGUAGCCGGCCUGGGAGGGUGACCGGCCACAUUGGGACUGAGAUACGGCCAAGACUCCUACGGGAGGCAGCAGUGGGGAAUAUUGCACAAUGGGCGGAAGCCUGAUGCAGCAACGCCGCGUGCGGGAUGACGGCCUUCGGGUUGUAAACCGCUUUCGCCUGUGACGAAGAGUGAGUGACGGUAAUGGGUAAAGAAGCACCGGCUAACUACGUG